rnacentral:rRNA from 1 species
UAUAAAUGUAAUAAAUUUUCUAAAUUAUUAAUAGUUAUAUUCUUUAAAAUUUAAGAUUUUGGCGGUAUUUUAGUCUUUUCAGAGGAACCUGUUCUGUAAUUGAUAAUCCACGUUUUAAUGUACUUUAUUUUAAAAAUUUAUAUAUCGUCGUAGUUGAAUAUUUUAAAAGAAAAUAAUAUUCAUAAAUUAUGAUUAUAAAAUAAAUCAGAUCAAGGUGUAGUUUAUAAUUAAGAAGAAAUGGGUUACAAUAAUUUUAAUUAUUACGUUUAUUUAAAUUUAAAUUUGAAUAUAAGGUGGAUUUGAAAGUAAUAUAAUAGAAUUAUUUUAUAUGAUUAUAGCUCUAUAAUAUGU